CUUGGGGGUUGAGGCGUAGCAUGGCAGCCUUACUUGGGAAUAAGCAACUGCACUGAACUCCGCGGCGCUUGCUUGCCCGUAGGCUAGGAGUGCCGCACGGAUAAAGAAAUCUGGCCGUGCGACCCUAUAUACAUGCCCGCUCAAUAAGUAAAUCCAGCACUCUAGGAUCGGGGCCCUGCACAGAAGUUCACUCAAGAAAGAAGAGCCAAUGUGUUGGAUUUAGAGGCAUGAAUAGCAUUUUCCAAAGGAGUCCUUGGAAUGACAUGCAUAUGGCACAGGAGGGGAAGUCUCAGCAGGACUGAGAGUGCAGCCCAUUCUGAAGAAACCCACUCUGGACCCAAGGGAGCUGGACAACGACCACCCACUGCAAAUUUGCUUUCUUAGAGAAGCAUGCUGGUCACAGAGGUUGCUGGAUGAUUUGCUCCUGGUGGGUUUCAGCUGGACCUAUAGUCCAACCUGAGUCUACCUGAAGAACAACCAUCUGUGUAGCAGGCCCACUUCUUUGGAACUUCCUGCCUCUGGAGGUAAGGCAGCACC